AACGAACGCUGGCGGCGUGGAUAAGACAUGCAAGUCGAGCGCUCAUCCGGUUGCAGCAAUGUAAACGGGUGGGAGCGGCGCAAGGGUGCGUAACACGUGGGUAAUUUGCCGUAAAGCUGGGGAUAACUCCGAGAAAUCGGAGCUAAUACCGAAUGUGAUUUCCUGGGGACAUCCCCGGGUUAUCAAAGUUGGGGACCGAAAGGCCUGACACUUUACGAUAAGCCCGCGGCCUAUCAGCUAGUUGGUGAGGUAACGGCCCACCAAGGCUAAGACGGGUAGCUGGUCUGAGAGGACGACCAGCCACACUGGAACUGAGACACGGUCCAGACACCUACGGGUGGCAGCAGUCGAGAAUUUUUCACAAUGGGCGCAAGCCUGAUGGAGCGACGCCGCGUGGGGGAUGAAGGGCUUCGGCUCGUAAACCCCUGUCAUUUGCGAACAAACCUUGCCUGUGAAUAACAGGCGAGCUGAUUGUAGCGAAAGAGGAAGGGACGGCUAACUCUGUG
rnacentral:rRNA from 1 species